rnacentral:tRNA from 1 species
CGAGGCAUAGCUAGGGAGUUAAGCGUCUCUUUUACACGGAGUCAAGGUUUGUGCAACUCAGACUGCUUCGA